CCUACGGGAGGCAGCAGUGGGGGAUAUUGGACAAUGGGGGCAACCCUGAUCCAGCGACGCCGCGUGAGUGAAGAAGUCUUUCGGUAUGUAACGCUCUAUCAGCAGGGCAGAAAGAAAUGACGGUACCUGAGUAAGAAGCCCCGGCUAACUACGUGCCAGCAGCCGCGGUAAUCCGGAGGGGGCAAGCGUUAUCCGGAAUUACUGGGUGUAAAGGGAGCGUAGACGGUAAUGCAAGUCUGGAGUGAAAGGCGGGGGCCCACCCCCCGGACUGCUCUGGAAACUGUGUAACUUGAGUGCAGGGGAGGCAGGCGGAAUUCCUAGGGUAGCGGUGAAAUGCGUAGAUAUUAGGAAGAACACCAGUGGCGAAGGCGGCCUGCUGGACUGUAACUGACGUUGAGGCUCGAAAGCGUGGGGAGCAAACAGGAUUAGAUACCCGAGUAGUC
rnacentral:rRNA from 1 species